rnacentral:tRNA from 4 species
AAAAAUGAAAUCAUUAAUGAUAUUUCAUUUACAAUGAAAUUUAGUAUUAUUAUACCAUUUUUU